rnacentral:rRNA from 1 species
CCUACGGGUGGCAGCAGUGGGGGAUAUUGGACAAUGGGGGAAACCCUGAUCCAGCGACGCCGCGUGAGUGAAGAAGUAUUUCGGUAUGUAAAGCUCUAUCAGCAGGGAAGAAAGAAAUGACGGUACCCGAGUAAGAAGCCCCGGCCAACUACGUGCCAGCAGCCGCGGGAAUUCGUAGGGGGCAAGCGUUAUCCGGAAUUACUGGGUGUAAAGGGAGCGUAGACGGUAAUGCAAGGCAGGAGUGAAAGGCGGGUGCGCAACCCCGGGACUGCUCUGGAAACUGUGUAACUGGAGUGCAGGAGAGGUAGGCGGAAUGCCUAGUGUAGCGGUGAAAUGCGUAGAUAUUAGGAGGAACACCAGUGGCGAAGGCGGCCUACUGGACUGUAACUGACGUUGAGGCUCGAAAGCGUGGGGAGCAAACAGGAUUAGAUACCCCAGUAGUC